CCUACGGGUGGCAGCAGUGAGGAAUAUUGGUCAAUGGACGAGAGUCUGAACCAGCCAAGUAGCGUGAAGGAUGACUGCCCUAUGGGUUGUAAACUUCUUUUAUAUGGGAAUAAAAUGUUCCACGUGUGGGAUUUUGUAUGUACCAUAUGAAUAAGGAUCGGCUAACUCCGUGCCAGCAGCCGCGGUAAUACGGAGGAUCCGAUCGUUAUCCGGAUUUAUUGGGUUUAAAGGGAGCGUAGGUGGAUUGUUAAGUCAGUUGUGAAAGUUUGCGGCUCAACCGUAAAAUUGCAGUUGAGAGUGGCAGUCUUGAGUACAGUAGAGGUGGGCGGAAGUCGUGGUGUAGCGGUGAAAUGCUUAGAUAUCACGAAGAACUCCGAUUGCGAAGGCAGUUCACUGGACUGCAACUGACACUGAGGCUCGAAAGUGUGGGUAUCAAACAGGAUUAGAUACCCGUGUAGUC
rnacentral:rRNA from 1 species